CGUAGGUGGCAAGCGUUAUCCGGAAUUAUUGGGCGUAAAGCGCGCGUAGGCGGUUUUUUAAGUCUGAUGUGAAAGCCCACGGCUCAACCGUGGAGGGUCAUUGGAAACUGGAAAACUUGAGUGCAGAAGAGGAAAGUGGAAUUCCAUGUGUAGCGGUGAAAUGCGCAGAGAUAUGGAGGAACACCAGUGGCGAAGGCGACUUUCUGGUCUGUAACUGACGCUGAUGUGCGAAAGCGUGGGGAUCAAACAGGAUUAGAUACCCUGGUAGUCCACGCCGUAAACGAUGAGUGCUAAGUGUUAGGGGGUUUCCGCCCCUUAGUGCUGCAGCUAACGCAUUAAGCACUCCGCCGUGGGGAGUACGACCGCAAGGUUAG
rnacentral:rRNA from 1 species